rnacentral:lncRNA from 1 species
CUUGAGAUGAAAUCUAGUCUUGGUGAAGAUGCUAUGAACAUCGUUGAAACAACACAGGAUUUACGAUAUCGCAUAAACCUAGUUUAUAAAGCAAUGGUAAGAUUUGAGAGGGUUGACUCUAAUUUUGAAAGAUGUCCUACUGUGGAUAAAGUGCUAUCCACAGCAUUGCAUGCUACAGAAAAAUCUUUCAUGAAAUGAAGAGUCAAUUGAUACAGCAAAUUUUGUUGUUAUCUUAUUUUACAGAAAUUGCCACAGUCACCUCAACCUUCAGCAACCACCAACUUGAUCAAUCAGCAGCCAAUAACGUGAAGUCAUGACCAUUCACCAGCAAAAAGUUUAUGAUUCACCAAAAUAUUAGAUGAUCAUUAACAUUUUUAGCAAUAAUGUAUUUGUCAUUAAGGUGUUAGUGCAUUGGAAAAUCAUUUAAAGAAUGUAUCAGCUAAUUGAAGGCUUAUGUGUAAACAAGAUUCCUGCCAGGCUUUGACUACUACCCUUGGCCUUCCUAUACAGGGUUGUAAAGAAUCAUCAUGAUGUAUGUUUGAAAUUAUGUUUAACAGUAUUACAGUCAAUAUAGACUAAAUUUUGAUGCAGUAACAACCUCAGAACUUUUACAAUCAUUGCUGGACUGAGAGAGAAAGAGAGAGUGAACAGGGAAUGUCACAUGAGCAGAGAAUGUCACUAUCUCAACUGUAAAAAACAAACAUUACUUCUACUCACAUUUCAUUGCCCAGAACUAGUCCUAUACCUGUGCCUAACUGGAAAUGAGCACAAACUAUCGUGUCUGUCAUGCUCAAGGAGAGGAAAUUGGUUAUUGGUCAGUGUCAAUAUUGUCCACAAAUGUGAAUUACAUUUUAUAAGGUGUUGACUCUGCCUGUCACCCACAAAAGAGCUUUGAGUACAAUUGGCAAACCGUAUAUGCUAUAUUUUUAAAACAAUAUUUCUCUUCCAUGUGUUAAAUGUAAUAAUUGUUUUAGAUUAUUUAACUUGAUAUAUUACUAAGCUUUUUUUCCCUACUCAAACAAAAAGUACUCUUACAAUCAAAGAAACAUGUUUAUUGUUGUUGUUGAUUUAAUUUUCAAACACAUUUGAAGGACUCAAAACACAACCACUCUUUCAAACCUCAAAUAUCAACUAAGUUAUAAUCAGUAUCUUUUGUAUGGUAAGGCACUAGACCCAGAAUAACAGAAGAAAAACAAUGGAAGAUAAAUUUAAAAGUUAAUGGAAGAAAACAUAAUUAUGGAGAGUUACAACUAUUACAUGUUUACUUUUAAACUGGUAAUUGAUAUCUAAAAUAAGUAAGGGUUUGAUAUGGGAAGAAUAGUAAACGGGAGAUAGGAGCACUAAUUUUAAGACACUUUUUUGACAUCAGUUAGUAAAACAAUUUUGGAAAAAAACAAUGAUCUAUGUUUCUUAAAUCUAAUUAAUUUAUAUUAUUUCAUAUAUAUUUUUUAAAAUGAGCUAUCCUUCAAAAUGCAACCGAUUAGAAUAUUUUACUAUCUUUUCUAUGAAGUUUAAGGUUUAAUAAGCUUUCACUUUAACUUUCUAAUACAAUGGAAUAAUUUCUAUUGUCAUUUUAUUGUGUAAUACUAUUGUAAAGCUUUAAAACAUAAAAAAAUACAAAAACAUAAAAUUUACAUUUUAUAUAAAGAUACAAUUUGUAAAACAAUUUAGAACAUAUUAUUCUAUUACAAUAAAUUAUCCUGCAAACUUUUAGGGUUGUUCUUUGCUUCUAAUAUCCCAUAUGAGAAUUUACUAAUCUUAAGCUGUCAGAUCUUACUUUUCUCACUUCCUUAACCAUAUUUUCUGCCUUCAUCUCACCCUUGCAUUCUCAAGCUUUCUUGACCUAUGGCAAAAUAAAUAUUAAUAUGAAUUCAUAGACAGAUGUAUAUUUAUAGAUCUGUGGAAGAUUAAUAUCUCAUAUCCAUUUUUUGUUGUAUUUAUUUAUGAAUUUAUUUAUUCAUGUGGCCCAGUUUGGCUUUUUGAAAUGAUAGCCUCAUGAAAUGUUUCAUAAUGAUAUCUUUAUUCUGUGACUGGAUUAAAAUUUAUGUUAUUUCUGUAAACUCAGUUUGAAUUACUCCAUCUUUGAUGUCUAUAGUAUGGAAUUAACACAGUGGAGUUUAUGUGCUUCAUGGGACCCUUAAGUGCAAACUUGUAAAAUCUUUCAUUAUUUCAAUAAUUACACAUGAUAAUAAUUUAGAGACAUGAGUGACAUCUAAACUUUGAAAACGGCAUUGUGCUCUUUCUAAAUGUAUUAUGGAGGAUUUCUCUCAUUUUUCUUGUCUUAAUUGUUUAAAUGCAUUUGAGCAAAGUUUCCAUUUACCUUGCUAGUUGUUUUAGAUGGCUGCCGGAUCGCUAUUCAUGAAGGAAGGACUAACAGAUGGAGACCCGCUACUGACUUCAGUAAACCUAAAUUAUCUGAAAGUGGUAGAAUAAGAGAAAGGUUAUGAAUGGUGAUGACAUUGAGCCCAGGUUAAAUCCAGGAAGCCAACACCCAGUUUUAUGUAUAAAGUUUGAAAGAUGUAAGAUGAGAGAAAGGCAUAUUGUCAGUAAUGAAUCAGUGUAAAUCAGAACUUGGGAACUGAUACUGUUAAUUGUCUUCUGGAGGCCCACUUAAUUGUGGUUUUUGAAAAUUAUGCCACGAGGAGGAGAUAUUUGUGUUCUCUCAUGAGCGUGAAAACAGCGUUUGGUGUUGCGUUAUUCCAACUGCCAUUUGCUAUUGGUGAUCGUUCUUCUCUAGAGAAUGCGCAACCUACUCAUCUGACAAAGGGC